rnacentral:rRNA from 1 species
UACGGGGGGGGCAAGCGUUGUUCGGAAUUACUGGGCGGAAAGGGCUUGUAGGCGGCCAACUAAGUCCGACGUGAAAUCCCCAGGCUUAACCUGGGAACUGCGUCGGAUACUGGAUGGCUUGAAUUCGGGAGAGGGAUGCAGAAUUCCAGGUGUAGCGGUGAAAUGCGUAGAUAUCUGGAGGAAUACCGGUGGCGAAGGCGGCAUCCUGGACCGACAUUGACGCUGAGGAGCGAAAGCUAGGGGAGCAAACGGG